rnacentral:rRNA from 1 species
CAAAGGGGGCAAGCGUUAUUCGGAAUUAUUGGGCGUAAAGGGCGCGUAGGCGGCUUUUCAAGUGACGGGUGAAAUCCCUCGGCUUAACCGAGGAACUGCCUGUCAGACUGGAAGGCUUGAGACCGGGAGAGGUGAGUGGAAUUCCCAGUGUAGCGGUGAAAUGCGUAGAUAUUGGGAGGAACACCAGUGGCGAAGGCGGCUCACUGGACCGGAACUGACGCUGAGGCGCGAAAGCGUGGGGAGCAAACAGGAUUAGAUACCCUGGUAGUCCACGCCGUAAACGAUGAGUGCUUGGUGUAGCGGGUAUCGACCCCUGCUGUGCCGAAGUCAACACAUUAAGCACUCCGCCUGGGGAGUACGGUCGCAAGACUG